rnacentral:rRNA from 1 species
ACUCAAAUGAAUUGACGGGGAAACGCACAACCAGCGUGCCAUGUGGUUUAAUUCGAAACGAAACGAUAGACCUUACCUGGGUUUGAAAUAACACCGUUUUAGUCACCUGGAAACAGGAGAUGAUCCGCAAGGAUGGUGCUACAGCUGCUGCAUGGCUGUCGUCAGUUCGUGUCGUGAGGCGUCGAUUUAAGUAUCGUAACGAACGCAACCCCUGCUGUAUGUUAAAUAUCCAUACGGGACUGCCCUGCUUUUUUAGUGGGGAGGAAGGAGGGGAUGAUGUCAAGUCAGCAUGGCGCUUACAUCCAGGGCCACACACAUGGCGUAAUGGUCGGGACAACGGGUCGCGAAAGAGUAAUCUGGAGCUAAUCCUAAUAAACCCGACCUCAGUUCGGAUUGUGGGCUGAAACUCGCCCACAUGAAGGGGAGUUGGUAGUAAUCGCAGAUCAGCAAUACUGCGGUGAAUACGUUCUCGUUUCUUGUACACACCGCCCGU